rnacentral:rRNA from 1 species
GACGAACGCUGGCGGCGUGCUUAACACAUGCAAGUCGAACGGUGAAGCGCCUUCCUUUUUGGUGGGUGUGGAUGAGUGGCGAACGGGUGGGUAACACGUGAGUAACCUGCCCCCUUCUUCUGGAUAACCGCAUGAAAGUGUGGCUAAUACGGGAUAUUCUGGGUCUGUCGCAUGAUGGGUCUGGGAAAGAUAUUGUUUCGGUGGGGGAUGGGCUCGCGGCCUAUCAGCUUGUUGGUGGGGUGAUGGCCUACAAAGGCGGUGACGGGUAGCCGGCCUGAGAGGGUGGACGGUCACACUGGGACGGAGACACGGCCCAGACUCCUACGGGAGGCAGCAGUGGGGAAUAUUGCACAAUGGGCGCAAGCCUGAUGCAGCGACGCCGCGUGAGGGAUGGAGGCCUUCGGGUUGUGAACCUCUUUCGCCAGUGAAGCAGGCCUGCCUCGUUUGUGGGUGGGUUGACGGUAGCUGGAGAAGAAGCGCCGGCUAACUACGUG